UAGGAAUGAUGUAUUGUAAUUCUGACA
rnacentral:sRNA from 1 species